rnacentral:rRNA from 1 species
GAAGGAGGGUGCAAGCGUUGUUCGGAAUUACUGGGCGUAAAGAGCGUUUAGGCGGCUGAUCAAGUCGGGUGUGAAAGCCCGGGGCUUACCGCCGGAAGUGCGCUCGAAACUGGUCAGCUAGAGUAUGGGAGAGGGAAGUGGAAUUCCUGGUGUAGCGGUGAAAUGCGUAGAUAUCAGGAGGAACACCGGCGGCGAAGGCGCCUUCCUGGACCAAUAAUAACGAUGAGAAGCGAAAGCGUGGGGAGCAAACAGG